rnacentral:rRNA from 1 species
GACGAACACUGGCGGCGUGCUUAACACAUGCAAGUCGAACGGAAAGGCCCUGCUUUUGUGGGGUGCUCGAGUGGCGAACGGGUGAGUAACACGUGAGUAACCUGCCCUUGACUUUGGGAUAACUUCAGGAAACUGGGGCUAAUACCGGAUAGGAGCUCCUGCUGCAUGGUGGGGGUUGGAAAGUUUCGGCGGUUGGGGAUGGACUCGCGGCUUAUCAGCUUGUUGGUGGGGUAGUGGCUUAUCAAGGCUUUGACGGGUAGCCGGCCUGAGAGGGUGACCGGCCACAUUGGGACGGAGAUACGGCCCAGACUCCUACGGGAGGCAGCAGUGGGGAAUAUUGCACAAUGGGCGGAAGCCUGAUGCAGCAACGCCGCGUGCGGGAUGACGGCCUUCGGGUUGUAAACCGCUUUCGCCUGUGACGAAGCGUGAGUGACGGUAAUGGGUAAAGAAGCACCGGCUAACUACGUG